rnacentral:rRNA from 1 species
UACGUAGGGUGCAAGCGUUGUCCGGAAUUAUUGGGCGUAAAGAGCUCGUAGGCGGUUUGUCGCGUCUGCUGUGAAAACUGGAGGCUCAACCUCCAGCCUGCAGUGGGUACGGGCAGACCAGAGUGCGGUAGGGGAGAUUGGAAUUCCUGGUGUAGCGGUGGAAUGCGCAGAUAUCAGGAGGAACACCGAUGGCGAAGGCAGAUCUCUGGGCCGUAACUGACGCUGAGGAGCGAAAGCGUGGGGAGCGAACAGG